UACGGGGGGGGCAAGCGUUGUUCGGAAUUACUGGGCGUAAAGGGCUCGUAGGCGGCCAACUAAGUCAGACGUGAAAUCCCUCGGCUUAACCGGGGAACUGCGUCUGAUACUGGAUGGCUUGAGUUCGGGAGAGGGAUGCGGAAUUCCAGGUGUAGCGGUGAAAUGCGCAGAUAUCAGGAGGAACACCGAUGGCGAAGGCAGCUCGCUGGGACGGUACUGACGCUGAGGCGCGAAAGCGUGGGGAGCAAAUAGG
rnacentral:rRNA from 1 species